rnacentral:lncRNA from 1 species
GGGAGAGGUUACUGUGAGGGAAUGGUUUGGGGGAGGGGUUACUGUGAGGGAAUGGUUUGGGGGAGAGGUUACUGUGAGAACAUAGAAACAUAGAAACAUAGAAUGUGACGGCAGAUAAGAACCAUUCGGCCCAUCUAGUCUGCCCAAUUUUCUAAAAACUUUCAUUAGUCCCUAGCCUUAUCUUAUGGUUAGGAUGGUGAGGGAAUGGUUUGGGGGAGAGGUUACUGUGAGGGAAUGGUUUGGGGGAGGGGUUACUGUGAGGGAAUGGUUUGGGGGAGGGGUUACUGUGAGGGGAUGGUUUGGGGGAGGGGUUACUGUGAGGGAAUGGUUUGGGGGAGGGGUUACUGUGAGGGAAUGGUUUGGGGGAGGGGUUACUCUGAGGGAAUGGCUU